rnacentral:piRNA from 1 species
UUAUAUGGAACAUCGAAAAAA